UAUUGUAAAAGUCUAUUGGAAUAACUUGGAUAACUAGCAAACUGACUCAAAUUUGUUAUGAGAUAUUUGUUUGUAGUCUAUUGCAUCGGCAUCGGCUUGUUAGCACUAUUAGGUUAAUUCGCUUGUAAUUUAGGUAGAUCUGCAUUUAGGUAUCCAUUGCUUAAAUGCUUCUGUGGCAUAAAAGAGACAUUAAAAUUACUGUUCUUUAUAUAUAGGCAAGCACAACACAACAACUAUCCAUGGCCAUGGCCAUCAUGUGGCCUGCCAGACGGACCCAUCUGAGACAUGCACAGUUGACACACAUCUGUCUAUCCACACUUGAUAGACAAGAAUGUUGUUUUCCCUUUUCUCGGAAUGUUGUGCAGACUCCAUCUGACAGUCCUGCAUUUCAGUGAAAAUGCUGGCCAUCCCUAAACAACAUCUGCGGGUGAACCACUAUUUCAGGUUACGAUAAUGAGAUCGUGGACCUCAUCUUUCAAAUGGUUUUCCAAGAUCCAACCCCAUAUGUGGAAGAUGUGCUGUGGAUCCCAGUCCCUGAGGAUCAUUCUGCCCAGUUUCUCAAACCAGACAAGGAGGACGUUAUAUACAGCUACGGUGACUGUGUGUGUAUGUGGUCUACUGGGGGCAGUGCUGGUUGUUAAACAAUCUGACAGCAGCAGGAAGGAAGGACCUACGAUAUCUCUCCUUCACACAUUUGGGGUGAAGGAGUCUAUCGCUGAGGGAGCUGCUCAGUGCACUGAUGGUGUCCUGCAUGGGGUGAGAGACAUUGUCCAUUCGUGAUGAUAGCUUAGCAAUCAUCCUCCUCUCUCCUACCACCUGCACUGAGUCGAGGGGGCAACCCAGGACCGAGCUGGCCUUCUUGAUCAGUUUGUCGAGCCUCUUCCUGUCAGCGGUUGACAUGCUGCUGCUCCAGCAGACCACCCCAAAGAAAAUGGCUGAUGCCACAACAGUGUCAAAGAAGGUCCUCAGGAGUGCUCCCUACACUCCAAAGGACUUUCGUCGUCAGCAGAUAGAGCCUGCUCUGGCCAUUCUUGUAAGUCCAGUCCAGUUUAUUGUUCAGAUGAACACCCAGGUACUUAUAAGAGUCCACCCUCUCUAUGUCCAUUACCUGGAUGCUCACCAGUUUCGGGAGUGCGUGAAAAUCCACCAUCAGCUCCUUUGUUUUCCCUGUGUUGAUCUGGAGGCAGUUCCACUGACACCAGUCCAGUUUUUGGUCUUCUAGACCAGUUUGGUCUAGAAGUAGAUGUAAAUAAUUAUUUUAGCCACUUAGCUCUGUUCACUCCCGUUCAUUGAGGACUAUGUUCCGAGUGCCCCCCUAGGUGAACUGCAGCCAACUUUCAGUACAGUGGGUUUUAAUAGGAAGUGGACAGGCUGUCCUCAGAAAGGCUGUGGCCAUACUCGCGUUGGCACACCUCCUGGAAGAGAGGGGCAGGUGUGAAGUGGCUCAUUAGCAUUUAAAGCGAUAGGCACUCAAAACAGCUUGUUCUCAAAAGAGCUUUUUUAGAGGGGGUAAGAGGGAGGCUGUGAUGCUUCAUCUGUGUGGUAUUAUGACCAAAUAAUGUCACAGACAUUUCAUGAAAACCACAGGGAAUUGUAAUACAUUGUCAAAAAGGGGUAUAAUGUGUCUUCUUUAAAUUUUGUCUUUUUGGCAAUUAAUUUAC